rnacentral:rRNA from 1 species
GGCCCGUUCGGGGUACACGAGUGGCGAACGGGUGAGUAACACGUGGGUAAUCUGCCCUGCACAUCGGGAUAAGCCUGGGAAACUGGGUCUAAUACCGAAUAGGACCACAGAACACAUGUCCUGUGGUGGAAAGCUUUUGCGGUGUGGGAUGGGCCCGCGGCCUAUCAGCUUGUUGGUGGGGUGAUGGCCUACCAAGGCGACGACGGGUAGCCGGCCUGAGAGGGUGUCCGGCCACACUGGGACUGAGAUACGGCCCAGACUCCUACGGGAGGCAGCAGUGGGGAAUAUUGCACAAUGGGCGAAAGCCUGAUGCAGCGACGCCGCGUGGGGGAUGACGGCCUUCGGGUUGUAAACCUCUUUCACCAUCGACGAAGGUCCGGGUUUUCUCGGGCUGACGGUAGGUGGAGAAGAAGCACCGGCCAACUACGUGCCAGCAGCCGCGGUAAUACGUAGGGUGCGAGCGUUGUCCGGAAUUACUGGGCGUAAAGAGCUCGUAGGUGGUUUGUCGCGUUGUUCGUGAAAUCUCACGGCUUAACUGUGAGCGUGCGGGCGAUACGGGCAGACUUGAGUACUGCAGGGGAGACUGGAAUUCCUGGUGUAGCGGUGGAAUGCGCAGAUAUCAGGAGGAACACCGGUGGCGAAGGCGGGUCUCUGGGCAGUAACUGACGCUGAGGAGCGAAAGCGUGGGGAGCGAACAGGAUUAGAUACCCUGGUAGUCCACGCCGUAAACGGUGGGUACUAGGUGUGGGUUUCCUUCCUUGGGAUCCGUGCCGUAGCUAACGCAUUAAGUACCCCGCCUGGGGAGUACGGCCGCAAGGCUAAAACUCAAGAAAUUGACGGGGGCCCGCACAAGCGGCGGAGCAUGUGGAUUAUUCGAUGCAACGCGAAGACCUUACCUGGGUUUGACAUGCACAGGACGCCGGCAGAAAUGU